UUCCUUACUCGUCCUAAAUUCAUUGAAAUUACUUUCGAGGCUCGACAGUUUUGAAUUCGAAUUGAUUCGAUCUUGUGUAUUGACCGUUACAUUAGAAUUUAUCCUAUCGUUUCCUACAAUUGCACACUCUUUUGAAAAUUGUGAAGGAUGCUUCAGUAAAUCUCACUCGCAUCAACGAUGCGAUUCUGUGAGAAACGGAACAUUUUAAAUUGUAUUCUAUAUUUGCUACGGACGUACAUUCUAACAGCUUACUGACUCGUCUAAGAAUAGGUGACUAUAGGAGAUUCAAGCGGAGUAGACCAUGACCGUGACCGUGAUCGUGACCGUGACCAAGCCGUCUACAUAGUCGGUGCCAUCCAAUAUUUAUCAAAGAUUUCAAGAAAUUUUGUAUUCUUGAUUGAUGAUCCUUCGGCAAAUAUACUUUAUUCUCAUGGUGACAAAUUUCAAUAGCUAACGUCUUACAAAACAAAAAGUAAAAGAAAAUAAAUAAUACAAGUGGUGUACGCAUUUACAAUAUUUUUAGCAUCUAUUGGAUAAAUGAGCAUUAUUAGCGGAAAAAGUUACAAAAGUAUUAUUUUGGUUUGAGUUUAAGGAUAGCUGUUGGGUCAAGCUAGUUUGAAAAGAUGUCUGGAAGAAAAAGGUAUAAAAUGUAUAUUUAAUAUACAGCAACUAUAUUAACGAUUACAAUAUAUACUGCACCGCGUAAUACAAAUAAAUACACAUAAUACACAUGAGAGACAAUAAGCUACUCGACUCUGCACUCAUAAUUUUCAAAUCUUGCGACAUAUCGUAACACAAUACGUUAGAAAAUUAUUUUAGUACGGCAGAAAGUAAUAAUGUGCAAAUAGAUCGUACGAUGGCAUUUUUACAUGGAAAAUAUAUUAUUGAAAUAAUAUUUAACAAGAUAUUCGUUAUAACAGGGGUUUCUUUUCAAUCGCAUAUCUCUGGAAACGCCUUUUAGAUUUUGAACGUCCAUAACUUUUUAUCUAUUGCAGCAUUGGCUACUAUGAUUUUGUUUUGAGGUAUAAAAGGUCUAUUCUACAUUGUUGAUAAUUAUGUUACAUAGGUUACGGAUAAUCUUAGCAUAUACAAUGACGUUAUUUAAAAUGCUGCACAGUCUGUACUGAAUGAUCCAUUGGAUAUAAUCAUUUUUACAAUUAUUAAUGUCUGUAAUGUGCGCUUUCCCUUGUGAUGUCAACAUUCUAAUAUUCUUUUGUAUAAAUAAACAACAUAUAAAUGAACCACCCAAAAGCAACUCCAAUUUAGCAGGCUUAUAAUAAAGAUUAUAAUUUUCCAUGGAAGCUCACAAACAGAAGGUUUAUAAUUCCAAUACGUUCCAGUACGUUUUAUCAUAUUUAACUAUGAUGCACUCAUGAUGUAUAAUUUUUAUAAAUAUACACAUACUACAAUCAGAUAAUUAUAUCUGUAUUCUUUCAAAUGAUCACUCAGACACAGAGCUAUAUAAUCUCUUCGAUAAACAAAGUUCACUAAUAUCGAAUUUAUAUAUAUCGACUUAUGCCCGAUUUUAUUUUUCUUUUCUUUCUUUUUUUUUUCAUUUCACGUGUAAUUUUAACUAGAGAUACCUCAUAAAUAAAAA